AUUCCGUGCAGCCUUGCCAGCUGGUGAGCGGGCAGAGUGGCAGGCCAGAGGUGCGGGUCUGUGGAGCAGCUGCAGCCACAGCAGCGUCAGCUCUGCAUGCCAGAGCUGUCAGCGUUUGGCCGGAGCUGCUCCUGGUGUUCCUUCUCUACUAGAUUUUUCUCCUUCCAUAUCCACUUGUUGCCGUGGCCUGCGUUGGGUCUGUUCAUCAGACAUUUUCAUCUUCACUACUGUGGUUCAGGGGAAGAAUUUAGCAUUUUUUAUUUUUUAUUUUUUUACCUUUGCUCAGUAUGUUUUCCCUGAGCUACUACCAUCUUGAGGUAUUCCCAAGGGAUUACCCCCAUAGGGAUUACCCCCAUAGGGAUUAUCUCUGUCAUGCAACAGCACUACUGGAGCCAUAUGGAACAUACUGUUUCACAGAUGGGUCAGCCCUUACUUCUUUGCAGGGGCUUCCAAGACAACUCAGUGGCAGCACCUGUAUGUGUUUACAUUGUGCAAGUCUCUAUGAAAGGGGAUGUUUUUUCACCUGAGCACUUUCUGAACCAAAGGAAUUGGACAUCCAAUCAGAAUGAGGCCUGAGAUUAUGUAAGAGUUAAUGUGAAAGCCAGAAUCCCAACCUUUUAUCACUAUAAAUACAUAUGGAUUUUGAAGAUUUGUGAAAUGAUGGCACCUCAGAUUGGAAUGUGGACUACAAAAUGGCACCUCCCUUUGUAGGUUUGUGGGAAGGAGUCCCAGUCUUGAUCCUUCCUACUUCUGGGCAAUAAGUGAUUGGCACUGGAUCCAGUACUUCAUCCAUGACACUUUUGGUAUCCUGGCAUGGAAACUACGCAGCGCUGCCAUCUGGUAACUGGGAAGAGUGGCCUGCCAGAGGUCUGGUUCUUCGGAGCAGCUAUAGCCACAUCAGCAUCAUCUGUGCCUGCCAGAGUGAUCACCAUUUGUCCAUCCAAGUGCUUUUCUUUCCAGGAGGAUAUACUUGACCGGCUAGCUUAAAUGGAGAUACAAGUGAAAUCAAAGGCAGAAGAGCUUUCAGUUGGAUGUACCUCUGGAGACAUGCAAGAAUUCUUUGCAAAGAUGCCAGCUCACAGGCAAAACAGUAUGAGAAGCUGAGAAACCAAAACGUCCUUGGCUCUGUGCAGUACUACUCAGCAACAACUAAAAUCAUGAGUGAUCAUGAGUUAUCGAAAUAUUCUCCUAAAGCAAAAAUAUCCCAGCUAAAACUAGGACAUGCACCCUUAUCUUCUUAGAAAACACCUUUCUUGAGAGGAGGUAGGUAGCAACAAAGCCAUGUUGAAAAGUCCAGUGAUGAUCAAGAAGACUUCAGGGCCUUGUGGAGAGGGAUAAAAGGAUCAAGAGCACAGGCAGUACUCCCUUCUACCCUUCAAGUUGUGGGGAGUGGUAUUGAAAGAAACAGGUGAGCUUUAAAUAAGGUUUGAAGGGUUACAUUGAGAAAAUCAGGCUUACAAUUGAUAAGCAAUAGAAUAGCACGUCAGUGUUGGACAGCAAGCUAGUGAGGGUUUUGCUGAGUACUUUGGAGAAGUAUUUGAAGUGUUUGUAUACCAAUACAUGCAGUAUGAAAAAUAAAUAAGAGGAG
rnacentral:lncRNA from 7 species